rnacentral:rRNA from 1 species
GACGAACGCUGGCGGCGUGCUUAACACAUGCAAGUCGAACGGAAAGGCCCUGCUUGCAGGGUACUCGAGUGGCGAACGGGUGAGUAACACGUGGGUGAUCUGCCCUGCUCUUCGGGUUAAGCCUGGGAGACUGGGUCUAAUACCUGCUAGGUGCCAUUUUUAGUGGGAUGGUUGGAAAGUUUUUGCGGUGUUGGAUGAGCUCGAGGCCUAGCAGCUUGUUGGUUGGGUAAUGGCCUACCAAGUCGGCGACGGGUAGCCGGCCUGAGAGGGUGGACGGCGACCUUGGGACUAAGAUACGGCGCAGAAUCCUACGGGACGCAGCAGUGGGGAAUAUUGCACAAUGAGCGCAAGCCUGAUGCAGCGACCUCGCGUGGGGGAUGACGGCCUUCGGGUUGUAAACUACUUUCGCUAGGGACGAAGCUUUUGUGACGGUACCUAGAUAAGAAGCACCGGCUAACUACGUG